rnacentral:misc_RNA from 1 species
AAAGUCGUAACAAGGUUUCCGUAGGUGAACCUGCGGAAGGAUCAUUAUUGAAUCCUUAGGAUGUCGCUGGCCUUUGCAAAAAGGCAUGUGCACUCCGCCUUUCAAUCCACCUGUGCACUUAUUGUAGGCUUUGUAAAGGGGAAACCCUGAUCAACCCUACGUAUUUUUACACACACUAUUAAAGUAACAGAAUGUAACUUAGUAGACCUUUGAUGGUCGAAAACCUAAAUACAACUUUCAACAACGGAUCUCUUGGUUCUC